rnacentral:tRNA from 1 species
GGUGGCUCAGUGGUAGAGUGCUUGCCUUGCAUCCAUGAGGCCUGGGGUUCAAUUCCUCACC